rnacentral:piRNA from 1 species
UACUACCUCAUGACUUACCUCAUGACUGAC